rnacentral:rRNA from 1 species
GCGUGAGUGAUGAAGGCCUUAGGGUUGUAAAGCUCUUUCGUGGGGGAAGAUAAUGACUGUACCCCAAGAAGAAGCCCCGGCUAACUCCGUGCCAGCAGCCGCGGUAAUACGGAGGGGGCUAGCGUUGUUCGGAAUUACUGGGCGUAAAGCGCACGUAGGCGGAUUGGAAAGUCAGGGGUGAAAUCCCGGGGCUCAACCCCGGAACUGCCUUUGAAACUCCCAGUCUUGAGGUCGCGAGAGGUGAGUGGAAUUCCGAGUGUAGAGGUGAAAUUCGU